rnacentral:lncRNA from 1 species
GGGAUGACAACUUGGCUUAAGUGGUGUGAGGGAUAGGUUUGGCAUUUUUGGCACCGUUGCAAGAUUUAGAACUUAGUCUACUUUUAGUAAUGAUGUUAAGAAUACCCAACAGUUAGCAAAGUUCACAAAAGGUAAGGACCUUCAAAGUGAGCUUUUCAUGAACACCGUCAUGAAGAUGGAUAAGAGUGGGAUUGGCUACAAGGCUCAUCAAACAAAGCUCAUCAAGUCACUAGCCACUCAUGAUCAACCAAGCAAGCCAAAUCCAAAGAGAUGUUUUGAGUGUGGUCAAGAAGGACACUUUGCUCAUGAGUGUAAGGCACCACUACCACCACCCUUGCCCAAACAUGCAAGACCAUUUGCCUUCAAUGCUCACUACAUUGUAAGGAAAGACAAGAGUGGCAAGGUCAAGGUUAGCUUCAUGGGGCCGCCCAACAAGCAAAGGCCAAAGAAGAUUUGGGUGCCAAAGCAACUAGUAGAGAAGGUCAAGGGCACUAAGCAAAUGUGGGUCCCUAAAUCUCAAGCUUGAUCUCUUGUGUGUAGGUGAACUACAAGACCGAUGGAUCACAUUGGGUAAUUGAUAGUGAUUGCACUCAACAUAUGACCGGAGAUCCCUGGAUGUUCACCUCUCUUGAUGAAGAUGUUGACAACCAAGAGAAGAUCACAUUUGGUGACAAUUCAAAAGGCAAGGUCAAGGGACUAGCAAAGGUUGCUAUAUCAAAUGACAACUCCAUCACCAAUGUGCUCUAUGUGCAAUCAUUGAGUUUCAACUUGCUCUCGGUUGGACAACUUUGUGAUCUUGGAUUUGAAUGCCUAUUCAAGAAGAAGGAAGUAAUUGUGACCAAGGAAGAUGACAAUGAAGUGAUAUUCAAAGGCUCCCGACACAACAACCUAUAUGUAGUUGAUUUCUCAUCCGAUGAAGUUGAUGUCAAGACUUGCUUAUUCACCAAGACUUCACUUGGGUGGUUGUGGCAUAGAAGGUUGUUGGGUAUUCUUAACAUCACUACCAAAAGUAGACUUAAUUUUCUAAUUCUAGUAACGGUGCCAAAAAUGCCAAACCUAUCCCUCAUACCACUUAAGCCAAGUUGUCAUCCCCAGCAUGACAUGAGAGACACGGUAUUGAAAUAUGAAAUUGCUCUUCUAAAUAAAUAAUGAAUGGGAUCUGCAAGCGCACAGAUUAAUACCGAUGUAGCAUUUUAACCGGGAAGUAUUCCAGGUAUCGUUAUUUAUAUUUUUACCACUGGGAAGGGAUUAACAAUCAUCACUAUUGAUUACAGAAUAGAAUAUGAGAUUGAGUAUCUAUCAUUGCAUGUAUAAUUGAGAACAUUUAUCUAACUCUUUCAUACAGGGGUAAGUGUCACAUAAAAGAUAUAUGAAAUAAUGAAUAGUGACAAAGAUAAUUAAUCUGAUCAUAACUAGCCACAUAAUAAAUAUGAUAAGCACCUCAAUUAGAUACUCUAGAAAGUCAUUAGCAUGGAAUUAGAACGAACUACAAGAAUAUUUCCUAAGUUAUUCUCAACUAUAUAGUCUAGCAUUAUCAUAGUUAGUGUAAGCAUACUUAGCAAUCAUUGCGAGACAAGACUACGCCCAUGCAUAGUGAUAUAUGCAAGGUAAAUGAGAAACAUAGCAAUCACUCCCCUGUAAUAAUAUUGCUCUGCCAGCCCAAUACACGAGAGGGGGACUAUAUAAGAAUCAAUGAAGCUGUCACUAUCACGAACUACCCCACGAUCUGGCAUAUUGGGUACAAUCGCAGAUAAAUACGGUAUAAGCACCACGCCUACACAAUAUCUAUCAUUUACCCAUGGAUCCAAUGGAUAAACUCUAUACGAUCCUAAGCAUGUAUAUAGAUCCAAUCUAACUAAGCCAAGUACAUAACUAUGAUAAACUAAGAACAAUAUAAUCUUGAAUAUAAACAAGUAGAGCAAAGUCAUAAGCAAUAUAUUGAAGUAGAACAAAGUCAUAUUCAUAAUAUUGAAGAACAAAGAUAAUUAGAAAGCAAUUAGAAGCACAAUUAGAGAAUUACCAAGAAUCCUCUUGAUAGAUCCGGAAACCAAUCGAAGAUUGACUCCUUCUAGUUCUAAUCCUAUGUAGCUAUGCUAAUCUAGAUAUCUAAUUGAUGUGGUGGCUCUAAUCUUGAUCAGAGGCUUCUUCUCCCUUGAGGAACAAUGAAUUAGGGUUGACAGGUGUUGACGGUCCUUAAGUAUCAAAUUUAAUUAUCAAAUAAAUAAAGAAAAGGAUCCAAAUGAAAUCAAGAUCUAGACUUAGGGUUUUAUCUGACAGAAUUCCACGAGUUUUGGUGUUUGUCUAUUUCUGCAGGGGGUUAUCAGGAAAUAUGGAAGAAAGGCCCACAUGUCGGGAUUACUUAAAGAUAUUAACGUGCUACGCAAUUAUCUUACAUCUAGAAGACUCCAGAAGCCACGAGACCGAAGCGGAGGCGAAACGGGGCAAGAGGCAGGGCGCCCGCCCUGUCCUACUGGGCGCCCGCCCCCUGUUGGAGUCCAAACAGGACUCUGCUUUGCGGGAAGUCUCCACCGACCUAAAGGAUGAAUCUAAACCAUACAAUCUAUGUCGGUUUGAUCCAAGGGCCCAUAUUCACUUGAAGGGACUAUAAAACCAGACCCCCUGGCCCCUGGAGGAGAGAGCCUCUCAACCCUAAUUCAUUGUUCCAUCAAGGGAGAAGAAGCCUCUGAUCAAGAUUAGAGCCACCACAUCAAUUAGAUAUCUAGAUUAGCAUAGCUACAUAGGAUUAGAACUAGAAGGAGUCAAUCUUCGAUUGGUUUCCAGAUCUGUCAGGAGGAUUCUUGGUAAUUCUCUAAUUGUGCUUCUAAUUACUUUCUAAUUAUCUUUGUUCUUCAAUAUUAUGAAUAUGACUUUGUUCUACUUCAAUAUCACUAUGCAUGGGCGUAGUCUUGUCUCACAAUGAUUGCUAAGUAUGCUUGCACUAACUAUGAUAAUGCUAGACUAUAUAGUUAAGAAUAACUUAGGGAAUAUUCUUGUAGUUCGUUCUAAUACCAUGCUAAUGACUUUCUAGAGUAUCUAAUUGAGGUGCUUAUCAUAUUUAUUAUGUGGCUAGAUCAGAUUAGUUAUCCUUGUCACUAUUAUUAUUUCAUAUAUCCUUUAUGUGACACUUAUCCCUGUAUGAUGAGUUAGAUAUAAUGUUCUCAAUUAUACAUGCAAUGAUAGAUGCUCAAUCUCAUAUUCUAUUCUAUAAUCAAUAGUGAUGAUUGCUAAUCCCUUCCCAGUGGUAAAAAUAUAAAUAACGAUACCUGGAAUACUUCCCGGUUAAAAUGCUGCAUCGGUAUUAAUCUGUGCGCUUGCAGAUCCCAUUCAUUAUUUAUUUAGGAGCAAUUGCAUAUUUCAAUACCGCGUCUCUCAUAUCAUGCUGGGGAUGACAACUUGGCUUAAGUGGUGUGAGGGAUAGGUUUGGCAUUUUUGGCACCGUUGCUAGAUUUAGAGAACUUAGUCUACUUUUAGUAAUGAUGUUAAGAAUACCCAACAACAGGCUCCCUCCUCCAGGGGCUAGGGGGUCUGGUUUUAUAGUCCCUUCAAGUGAAUAUGGGCCGUUGGAUCAAACCGACAUUGAUUGAACGGUUAUCCUUAAUCCUUUAGGUCGGUGGAGAUCUUUCCUGAGACAGAGUCCUGAUUGGACUCCAAGUCAGGGCGGGCGCCCAGGGAAGGAGGGCGGGCGCCCUGCCUCUGGCCCCGUUAGGCCUCCGCUUUCUUCCCGUGGCUUCUGGAGUCUUCUAGAUGUAAGAUAAUUGCGCGGCACGUUAAUAUCUCUAUGUAAUCCUGACGUGUGGGCCUUUCUUCCGUAUUUCCUGAUAACCCCCUGCAGAAAUAGACAAACACCAAAACUCAUGGAAUUCUGUCAGAUGAAACCCUUAGUCUAGGUGUUGAUUUCAUUUGGAUCCUUUUCUUUGUUUAUUUGAUAAUUAAAUUUGAUACUUAAGGACCGUCAACAAACUCCCCCAAGCUUACCUCUUGCUCGUCCCUGAGCAAGGAUAGAUUAGAAGUUGCUGCAAUACUUUUUUAAAAAUUGACGGUACGCAUGCUCUUUAAAUAAAAUCUCAUCUCUAAGUUAGAGUAAACUGUCAAGACUUAAAACUUAUUCAUUUUACCUUUCACCAUGGGACUUGUAACCGUCUCUUCUGUCUUGAGUAGUUAAAAGAUAGAACAGUCUAAUCAAGUGCCAUGUCUCUUAUUCUUGAUCAGCUACAACUCUAGAGUUUUUACAGAUUUUCAAAUAAAACUCAGAGAUUCCUUGUAUGACUCUCUCAAAUCUCUUUUUUGUAGUAUUUCUGGAUCCUUACCAAGGCAGUGAUGGUAUAUGCCUUCUCUCAAUAUAUGUAGUAUUUGUGGUAUAAGACAUAGUGACAUUGCCUUCUCUCUCACCCUACUCAAAUAAGGCUUUAAUAUCUGGAGCUCAUAGGUGGGAGAUAAAAUAUACAUACUUACAAGACAUGUAUUGUAUAGUCAAACCAUGGAUCCAAAGAAACAAAUCAAUAAGUCAAAUCAAGAUGUGCAUGUGCGGCGAAUGAAUGGUGUAUGGUGAUGAUGGUGAUAACAAUGGUGAAAGCCUAAUUCUACUUUUGCUCUUUGAGGGGAUACAUACCUUCCUUGCUUUUUGAAAUUUUGUGAGGAGAAUGAGAUGCUCUUCUUUUUUCUUUUUCUUUCCUCUCAGGUGGGUAUCUUAUACCCCUAAUUCUACUGUCGGACACUUGUCCAUUUUUACCUCUCGUCUCACUCUUUUUCUUUUCUUUCGAGGUUCCGGGCACUUGCCCCUUUUUAUUUCCUCGUAUCUUUUUUUCUCUUUUUUUAGUGCACUCAUCUCUUGAGAUAAUAUAGCAAGUGGUAGUAACAAGAUAUCUUGAGCAUUUAUUUCACAAGGAAAAACAGAAAUAUUUUUGGCUAUUCUCUCCCGGAUUAGGAGUAGAAUAUUUUUAGGUGGUUCUGGAGAUGGAAUGGGUUGAUAUAUGUGGAUGGUACUUCCGGAGUAGAAGUAGCAUAUAUGAGUGAACGUGCAAGUGAAAUCUUGAUUUAACCACAUGACAAGCUCCUAAGGGUCUACACAGCUUGACCACACUCAAUGCUCAUAAACAGUAAAUGUGUGGCUCAAAGUCUAGCAAGCAUGUAUAUAUGGCUGUGGUAGAAAUUUAAACUCUCAUCAUACAGGAACUCAUCAUGCAACAUUUUAAAGAUUUUCAAAGAUAAAAUUCUCCAGAAUUCUAGCAUCUCUAGGAACAGAUAAACAGCAGCUCAACCUUCCCAUAUCGUAUCCGUUAACAACUUAGACUUCAGAUCAAGUUUUCUUCCCACAAGUUUAGGUUUAGGGCAAGCUUUAAAUUACAACAGUUAUGUCUAAACUUGAGAGAGAACUUCAAAUUUUAAAAUUAGGUAGAGCAACUAUUCAUCAUAUCCAUGCUAGACUUUUAUUAUUAAGAUUCAGAUUAGCAUAGCCACUUUAUUUAUUUAUUAAACUAAGCAAAUAUAUAUAUAUAUAUAAGUAUAAAAUCUUUAUUUGGUUUUCCAUAGUUAUGUAUAUUUAAUAUAGUAAAAGUAUAAAGAUAGAUAGAAAUACUUAUCGGAAUAAAUGGGGGUGCUCUCCCCCAAGCUGAAUUUUGACGUAAUUUCUUUUGAUGUAGCUAGCAGGUGGCAGAGGUGUAUUUGAAAGUCGGCAGUAUUCUGACAGCGAUUAGAAUGUCCUCCGUCUGCUAGUCUUCUUGAUUCUUAAAUUCUGUGGAGCUCAAAUAGACAAUAAAGCUUGUAGAACUGAUUAAGUGUUAGCAUAAAUAUCUAGCCUUUAUCAUGUUGAGACUCCUUAAUAAUUAUUACUCCCUAUUUUUAUAUUUUUAUUUUAUAAAGCAGAAAUGAAAUAUUUUUUUUAUUUUUUUUAUGCCACCACAGUGAAUGUACUUAUGGGUUUUAUGCCACUCGUAUACUCACAUGGGGCUUACUGUUUUUCACAUUUUUAUUUUCUUUUUAGGAUAGCAUGAAUAUGAUUAACUAAGUAGACUAUUUUAAAAUAAUUGAAAGGGAAAGGAUAACUACCAAGUUUACCUCUUGGCAAGGCAUUCGGUGUUUUUAAGUCCUCCGAACGGGACUCUCCAUUUUCUAGUUGUCCUAGGAUUCGUUGGGUGGCGUAGUCGGUACUUCCGGCAGCGCCUCUUCUUCAUGUAUAGUUAUCUUCUCUUUCCAUACCUGACUCGGUGCUUCGGUCUCCUCUGGAUAAUUCUGUUUAAACUGUAUGUCUUCUGACCUUACCACUUCUCCUUCAUAGUCUACCCAUCUAUCCUUGAUGAUUUGCCUCCUUUGGUUGCGAUUGCGUCGUUUUCUGACCUGCUUAGAUUCUUCAAAGAUGUAGUUAGGGUCAGUAAAAUAAUGACGUACCUUCUCUGAGGGGAAGUGCAUAUAGACUUCUCCAGUUUCAAUGUAGAUGAUUGCUUUAACGGUGCUGAGGAACGGUCUUCCAAGGAUGAUGGGUGGAUCGUACUCGUCUUCUCCCAUGUCAAUAACCUGAAAGUCUGUGUAGACAAAAUGAUCGUCUAUUUUGACAGGGACAUCUGUUAUUGUUCCUUUAACUUCUCGAAACAUCUGAUCUGGUAUCUGGAGCUGAAUGUAUGUUGGUUUUAGGGGCAUGGUUCCGAACAAGAGCCGAUAGGUGACUGCGGCCAUUAUGUUGACGCCCGAUCCGGUGUCGUAAGUCGUCUUGUAGAAGUUGUACCAUUUAUGGAGCAAUAGAAGCUUGGCAUUCCUGGGUCGUCCUUCUUGGUCAGAAACGGUGACUUAAGUUGAUGAUCUUGAGCUCCUUGAACUGCAGUGACCAUUUUAGCUGACUCGGUCCACACUUGCUUGUUCCUGUUCCUCCUGUUGGUCCUCUUCCUUGAUUCACGUCUGGAUUGAUCUAGGAUUUGUGUAGUCUUGUUCUUGAAGGAAAAUGUCUCCUUCCUCUCUUUGAUGUAGAAACUGAUCUUGGCAGCACUAGCGUAGAUGAUAGCUCCCGCGGUGUUUAAGAAUGGCCUCCGUAAGAUAAUGGGUGCUCUCUCAUCAUUACCGGAAUCUAUCACCAUGAAGUCUGCUAGGGCAUACAAGGUACUAACUCGGACACAAAGGUUCUUCAAUAUUCCCUUGGGGAAACUUAAUGCCUGAUCUGCAAACUGCAAACACAUGGUUGUUUCUAAUAAAGGAUAUGUAAAGAAUUUUUUAUAGAGUACCCUGGGUAUAAUAUUGACACUGGAGCCAAAGUCACAGAGUGCUUCUGGGACGUCCACCAUGCCGAUGG